GGGCGCGUGGCGGAAUGGUAGACGCGGUGGGUUCAGGACUCACUGGGAAAAAUUCCCGUGGAGGUUCAAGUCCUCUCGCGCCCA
rnacentral:tRNA from 1 species